rnacentral:lncRNA from 1 species
GUGGAGAGGGUGAGGGGGAGAGGGAGGGGCAGGGGCAGGGGCCGGUGGGCCGGCUGCGCAGCUGGGCCGGCCCACCGGCGGCCAAUUUUUGUUUUCUUAUUUUUUAUAUUUCUUAUAUGAUGUAUAUGAUGUAUAUUUUUAAUUAUUAACUGUCCUAAAUAAAUGUAUAUGAUGUUUUAUUUUUCUUAUAAUUAUUAAUUGUCCUAAAUAAUUAUUAAUUGUUCUAAGUAAAUGUAUAUGAUGUAUUAUUAAUUAUUAAUUGUCCUCAAUAAUUAUUAAUUAUUAAUGGUCUU